GACGAACGCUGGCGGCGUGCUUAACACAUGCAAGUCGAGCGAGGCCCUUCCUUCGGGAAGGUGUCCUAGCGGCGAACGGGUGAGUAACACGUGGGCAACCUGCCCUCAGCUCUGGGAUAAACUCCGGGAAACCGGGCUAAUACCGGAUACGACCUCAUGGGGCAUCCCUCGAGGUGGAAAGUUUUUCGGCUGAGGAUGGGCCCGCGGCCUAUCAGCUUGUUGGUGGGGUGACGGCCUACCAAGGCGACGACGGGUAGCCGGCCUGAGA
rnacentral:rRNA from 1 species